rnacentral:lncRNA from 1 species
AAUCUGAAACUAGAGCUCAAAAUUUGAAAAAAAAAUGGUAAAAAACAGGAGGGUCGGCCUAUUCCGGGGCUUCUAGAGAAAAAUAAUGAAGGGUGUCACGGGGUAUGACUAUAUAGGUCUUGUAGAAAAGAAACAGGCGCUUCUUUUUGCGCAAGGUAUCAAAGGGCGCUAUGUUCAAAAAUCUGAAACUAGAGCUCAAAAUUUGAAAAAAAAAUGGUAAAAAACAGGGGGUCGGCCUAUUCCGGGGCUUCUAGAGAAAAUAAAUAGGGGUGUCACGGGGUAUGACUAUAUAGGUCUUGUAGAAGAGAAACAGGCGCUUCUUUUGCGCAAGGUAUC